AUAUUCUCUCUUGAGUGGAUCCUGAGUACGACGGAGCACGUGAAAUUCCGUCGGAAUCUGGGAGGACCAUCUCCUAAGGCUAAAUACUCUCUAGUGACCGAUAGUGAACCAGUACCGUGAGGGAAAGGUGAAAAGUACCCCGGAAGGGGAGUGAAAGAGAACUUGAAACCGUGUGCUUACAAGUAGUCAGAGCCCGUUAAUGGGUGAUGGCGUGCCUUUUGUAGAAUGAACCGGCGAGUUACGAUCUGAUGCAAGGUUAAGCAGCAAAUGUGGAGCCGCAGCGAAAGCGAGUCUGAAUAGGGCGUUGAGUAUUUGGUCGUAGACCCGAAACCAGGUGAUCUACCCUUGGUCAGGUUGAAGUUCAGGUAACACUGAAUGGAGGACCGAACCGACUUACGUUGAAAAGUGAGCGGAUGAACUGAGGGUAGCGGAGAAAUUCCAAUCGAACUUGGAGAUAGCUGGUUCUCUCCGAAAUAGCUUUAGGGCUAGCCUCAAGUGAUGAUUAUUGGAGGUAGAGCACUGUUUGGACGAGGGGCCCCUCUCGGGUUACCGAAUUCAGACAAACUCCGAAUGCCAAUUAAUUUAACUUGGGAGUCAGAACAUGGGUGAUAAGGUCCGUGUUCGAAAGGGAAACAGCCCAGACCACCAGCUAAGGUCCCAAAAUAUAUGUUAAGUGGAAAAGGAUGUGGCGUUGCCCAGACAACUAGGAUGUUGGCUUAGAAGCAGCCAUCAUUUAAAGAGUGCGUAAUAGCUCACUAGUCGAGUGACACUGCGCCGAAAAUGUACCGGGGCUAAACAUAUUACCGAAGCUGUGGAUUGUCCUUUGGACAAUGGUAGGAGAGCGUUCUAAGGGCGUCGAAGCAUGAUCGCAAGGACAUGUGGAGCGCUUAGAAGUGAGAAUGCCGGUGUGAGUAGCGAAAGACGGGUGAGAAUCCCGUCCACCGAUUGACUAAGUCCAGAGGAAGGCUCGUCCGCUCUGGGUUAGUCGGGUCCUAAGCUGAGGCCGACAGGCGUAGGCGAUGGAUAACAGGUUGAUAUUCCUGUACCACCUAGUAUCGUUUUAAUCGAUGGGGGGACGCAGUAGGAUAGGCGAAGCGUGCUGUUGGAGUGCACGUCCAAGCAGUAAGGCUGAGUGUUAGGCAAAUCCGGCACUCAUAAGGCUGAGCUGUGAUGGGGAGAGGAAAUUGUUUCCUCGAGUCGUUGAUUUCACACUGCAGGUGCCCGUACCGCAAACCGACACAGGUAGUCAAGAUGAGAAUUCUAAGGUGAGCGAGCGAACUCUCGUUAAGGAACUCGGCAAAAUGACCCCGUAACUUCGGGAGAAGGGGUGCUCUUUAGGGUUCACGCCCAGAAGAGCCGCAGUGAAUAGGCCCAAGCGACUGUUUAUCAAAAACACAGGUCUCUGCUAAACCGUAAGGUGAUGUAUAGGGGCUGACGCCUGCCCGGUGCUGGAAGGUUAAGAGGAGUGGUUAACGGUCCUAAGGUAGCGAAAUUCCUUGUCGGGUAAGUUCCGACCCGCACGAAAGGCGUAACGAUUUGGGCACUGUCUCAACGAGAGACUCGGUGAAAUCAUAGUACCUGUGAAGAUGCAGGUUACCCGCGACAGGACGGAAAGACCCCGUGGAGCUUUACUGUAGCCUGAUAUUGAAAUUCGGCACAGCUUGUACAGGAUAGGUAGGAGCCUUUGAAACGUGAGCGCUAGCUUACGUGGAGGCGUUGGUGGGAUACUACCCUAGCUGUGUUGGCUUUCUAACCCGCACCACUUAUCGUGGUGGGAGACAGUGUCAGGCGGGCAGUUUGACUGGGGCGGUCGCCUCCUAAAAGGUAACGGAGGCGCUCAAAGGUUCCCUCAGAAUGGUUGGAAAUCAUUCAUAGAGUGUAAAGGCAUAAGGGAGCUUGACUGCGAGACCUACAAGUCGAGCAGGGUCGAAAGACGGACUUAGUGAUCCGGUGGUUCCGCAUGGAAGGGCCAUCGCUCAACGGAUAAAAGCUACCCCGGGGAUAACAGGCUUAUCUCCCCCAAGAGUUCACAUCGACGGGGAGGUUUGGCACCUCGAUGUCGGCUCAUCGCAUCCUGGGGCUGUAGUCGGUCCCAAGGGUUGGGCUGUUCGCCCAUUAAAGCGGUACGCGAGCUGGGUUCAGAACGUCGUGAGACAGUUCGGUCCCUAUCCGUCGUGGGCGUAGGAAAUUUGAGAGGAGCUGUCCUUAGUACGAGAGGACCGGGAUGGACAUACCUCUGGUGUACCAGUUGUCGUGCCAACGGCAUAGCUGGGUAGCUAUGUAUGGACGGGAUAAGUAGCUGGGUAGCUAUGUAUGGACGGGAUAAGUGCUGAAAGCAUCUAAGCAUGAAGCCCCCCUCAAGAUGAGAUUUCCCAACUUCGGUUAUAAGAUCCCUCAAAGAUGAUGAGGUUAAUAGGUUCGAGGUGGAAGCGUGGUGACACGUGGAGCUGACGAAUACUAAUCGAUCGAAGACUUAAUCAA
rnacentral:rRNA from 1 species